rnacentral:rRNA from 1 species
GACGAACGCUGGCGGCGUGCUUAACACAUGCAAGUCGAACGGAAAGGCCCUGCUUGCAGGGUACUCGAGUGGCGAACGGGUGAGUAACACGUGGGUGAUCUGCCCUGCACUUCGGGAUAAGCCUGGGAAACUGGGUCUAAUACCGGAUAGGAGCCAUUUUUAGUGUGAUGGUUGGAAAGUUUUUUCGGUGUAGGAUGAGCUCGCGGCCUAUCAGCUUGUUGGUGGGUUAAUGGCCUACCAAGGCGGCGACGGGUAGCCGGCCUGAGAGGGUGGACGGCCACAUUGGGACUGAGAUACGGCCCAGACUCCUACGGGAGGCAGCAGUGGGGAAUAUUGCACAAUGGGCGCAAGCCUGAUGCAGCGACGCCGCGUGGGGGAUGACGGCCUUCGGGUUGUAAACUACUUUCGCUAGGGACGAAGCUUUUUGUGACGGUACCUAGAUAAGAAGCACCGGCUAACUACGU